CCUUCGGGACUCAUGAUACAGGGCGGCAGGGCUGUCGUCAGCCUCGUUGUUUGGUGAAAUGUUGGGUUAAGUCCCGCAACGAGCGCAACCCUUAUCCAAAAGUUGCCAGCGGUCCGGCCGGGAACUCAAAGGAGACUGCCAGUGAUAAACUGGAGGAAGGAGGGGAUGACGUCAAGUCAUCAUGGCCCUUACGACUAGGGCUACACACGUGCUACAAUGGCGCAUACAAAGAGAAGCGACCUCGCGAGAGACAAGCGAGACCUCAUAAAGUGCGUCGUAGUCCGGAUUGGAGUCUGCAACUCGACUCCAUGAAGUCGGAAUCGCUAGUUAAUCGUAGAUCAAAAUGCUACGGUGAAUACGUUCCCGGGCCUUG
rnacentral:rRNA from 1 species